rnacentral:rRNA from 1 species
UAAGAAUUUAAAAGUCGAACAGACUUAUUAUUAAGAAUACUACCUCUUAAAAUUUUCUUAAUUCAACAUCGAGGUCGCAAAAUACAAUAUAGAUGUGAACUCCCCAUUAAAAUUACGCUGUUAUCCCUAAGGUAACUUAAUCUUAUUAUCCUUUAAAUUAAGGGAUCUUAGAUUACACAAAUAAAUGAACAUUUAAACUAAAGUUAAUUAUUUAGCUGCCACCCCAGCAAAAUACAAUAUAACAAUUAAAAAAUAUAUUAAAAUAAAACUUAAUAAUAUAAAAUUGUAUAAAGUUCUAUAGGGUCUUAUCGUCCCAAUAAACUAAUAAAGCAUUUUAACUUUAAAUUUAAAUUUUAAUAUUUAAAGAAAUAAAAUAUAAUUCUCAUACAUCCAUUCAUACAAGCUUCCAAUUAAAAAACUAAUUACUAUGCUACCUUUGCACAGUCAAAAUACUGCAGCCAUUUAGAAUAAACCAUAGGGCAGAAGGUACUUUUUAUAAAACCA